rnacentral:misc_RNA from 1 species
GAAAUGCGAUACGUCAUGCGAAUUGCAGAUAUUUGUGAGUCAUCAAAAUUUUGAACGCAACUUGCACUUCCGUCAGGGAGUAUGUCUGUUGGAGUGUCUGUUCAUCCCCACUUUCGCAUCCCAUUUCCUUUCGGUAUGGGUUUCUGCGAGCAGUGCCGGCCGCUUGUUGCACGCAUGAAAGUGCGACGGACAAGCGAGCCCAGAUGACAACACCAAUCCAAAAACGAACUUCGCCCCUGCUCUUUGCUCAAGAGCUCGGUCGACGCGACGUGAUCUUCCCUCGCGGAGAAAACUAUCAGCGCGUCUGUCUGCAGCUGUAUUGGGUACACCAAAAGAGAGCCCCGGCAAUAAAAAAGGAGUUUUGCUUUUUCCGAUCGGACCUCCAAUCAGGCAAGAAUAC